GCCCUAUAAGCUAAAAGCAUUAGUUUUGUAAACUAAAGAUUUCGGGGCU
rnacentral:tRNA from 1 species